AGCGAACGCUGGCGGCAGGCUUAACGCAUGCAAGUCGAGCGGGCCCUUCGGGGUCAGCGGCGGACGGGUGAGUAACGCGUGGGAACGUGCCCUCUGGUUCGGAAUAACUCAGGGAAACUUGAGCUAAUACCGGAUACGCCCUUUUGGGGAAAGGCUUGCUGCCGGAGGAUCGGCCCGCGUCUGAUUAGCUAGUUGGUGGGGUAACGGCCUACCAAGGCGACGAUCAGUAGCUGGUCUGAGAGGAUGAUCAGCCACACUGGGACUGAGAAACGGCCCAGACUCCUACGGGAGGCAGCAGUGGGGAAUAUUGGACAAUGGGGGCAACCCUGAUCCAGCCAUGCCGCGUGAGUGAUGAAGGCCUUAGGGUUGUAAAGCUCUUUUAUCCGGGACGAUAAUGACGGUACCGGAGGAAUAAGCCCCGGCUAACUUCGUGCCAGCCGCCGCCGUAA
rnacentral:rRNA from 1 species